rnacentral:rRNA from 1 species
UGGGGAAUUUUGGACAAUGGGCGAAAGCCUGAUCCAGCAAUGCCGCGUGUGUGAAGAAGGCCUUCGGGUUGUAAAGCACUUUUGUCCGGAAAGAAAUCCUUGGCUCUAAUACAGUCGGGGGAUGACGGUACCGGAAGAAUAAGCACCGGCUAACUACGUGCCAGCAGCCGCGGUAAUACGUAGGGUGCAAGCGUUAAUCGGAAUUACUGGGCGUAAAGCGUGCGCAGGCGGUUUGCUAAGACCGAUGUGAAAUCCCCGGGCUCAACCUGGGGAACUGCAUUGGUGACUGGCAGGCUAGAGUAUGGCAGAGGGGGGUAGAAUUCCACGUGUAGCAGUGAAAUGCGUAGAGAUGUGGAGGAAUACCGAUGGCGAAGGCAGCCCCCUGGGCCAAUACUGACGCUCAUGCACGAAAGCGUGGGGAGCAAACAGGAUUAGAUACCCUGGUAGUCCACGCCCUAAACGAUGUCAACUAGUUGUUGGGGAUUCAUUUCCUUAGUAACGUAGCUAACGCGUGAAGUUGACCGCCUGGGGAGUACGGUCGCAAGAUUAAAACUUAAAUGAAUUGAC